rnacentral:lncRNA from 1 species
GGUGUUUAACGUAACCAACACCUAAAUCUAUAAAGGGAAAACAUAAAAUUCUACCUAGUCGAGAAGGCUGGAAAGAGUAAAAAUAGCUGAUCGGAAACCUUGCACGAGAAAGAAAACAACUAUUGUAUUCAAAAAGAUGAGAGAGCGUAAAAUCACAGUACACGAGCUUGGGCCCUAUUUAUAGAUUUACAAGCGGAGGGGUAAAAUAGUAAAAACAUCUUCGGUGCAUGCGUCUUGCGUGGUGGAAGGGUACGCUGGUAAUUUCGAUAAUACGCGGGAGACCUUCCCGCGCAUUUAACAACUCCUCUGAUAAAAAAUGUCUCCUCUGGCAAAAGCGUCUUCUCUGGUGAUGUUGACAUCUCUGGCGGAAGUGACUCUUCUGGCGAACACAUCUUCUCUGGCACGGAUAUAUUUUCUCUGAUGGCAACGACUUUUCUGGUAUUGACGACUUUUCUGACGAUGACGACUUCUCUGAUGGCAUUGACUUCUCUGGCGAGUGUGUCUCUUCUACCAUAUUUGACCCGCCAGUGGGGUUGAUUCCUCUGAUUUGUAUUCUUCCCCUACUCUGCACAUAUUACUCCUCAUCAACCACUCCCCCCUCUGGUCUGGUUGAACCGGGUGUUCUUCGUGUUCAACCAGUGGGGUAUUGUGAAAGCCCAAACUAUGCUGUUUUCCUUGAUCCCUGCAAAUCAUGAAGACAUAAGUACUCUAAUUUCAUAAGAAAGCAAAGAUAAACCCUGUAAAUUGCCCUCUGGUAUUUUUAUUAUUCCCACCCUCCCUGGUCUGGCUAGUUCACUCUGGAGUAUUGCCACUAGCCAGAGGACUCGCCCGCGUGGAUGACGUCACCUGCAUUAAAUGCCUGCCCGAUCUACAGUACUUUUCCCGUACCCCGAGGUUACUUUUUAACCUUUGCGUCCUUUCGUUUCUCCGUAGAAAUCCUCAUCCGUCGAUUAUUUCCCGUGUGCCACGCGUCGUUCAUCCCGUAUGCUGAUGGUUACCCGCGUACAAUAUUACUUAGUCGAUUCGAACUCCCACUUUUCACUAUUCUUCUUCUCCAAGCUUUCCGAACGAUUUUUCUGCAUUUUCCGGCGAUUCCCUCACUGUUCCGGCAUCUUCCCGCGACCCUUCCGCUCCAGGUUUUACCGUCCAUCUUUCUCUGGCCUAGGUAACUCGCGCAUCCUCUUCACUGCAAUUUUGUGUUUAAUCGUAGCGUAGUGGUAUAACUGUUGGUGAUCUGAUUGAGCGUGUUAGAAACCCUAGGAUUGGCAUUUCCCAUCAUGGCCUGCACCUCCACCCCUCAACCCUCUCUCUCGCCUUCUCCUUCUGCCCGAGACCCUUCAAGUUGGUGUUUAACGUAACCAACACCUAAAUCUAUAAAGGGAAAACAUAAAAUUCUACCUAGUCGAGAAGGCUGGAAAGAGAAAAAUAGUUGAUCGGAAACCUUGCACGAGAAAGAAAACAACUAUUGUAUUCAAAAAGAUGAGAGAGCGUAAAAUCACAGUACACGAGCUUGGGCCCUAUUUAUAGAUUUACAAGCGGAGGGGUAAAAUAGUAAAAACAUCUUCGGUGCAUGCAUCUUGCGUGGUGAAAGGGUCGCUGGUA